ensembl:lincRNA
CUGGUGGGAGUGUGUGUGUUCCUCCGCUGUGGUUGUGGGCAGUGUGGGGAGGGUGUACAGAUACUGAAGGCCCAUCCAGGAUGUUGCGAUGAGGCGGGUCCUAAACGGCUCAUCCAGCAAAUGGCACAGAGAGGAAUCUUCAAGGGACUUCCCUGGAGGCCCAGUGGUGAAGGCUCUGCGCUUCCAAUGCUGGGGACAAGGAGUGGAUUCAAUCUCUGCUCAGGGAACAGAUCCUCACGUGCCUUGUGGUCCAGCCAGAAAGGAAAAAUUAAAAAAGCAGCUUCCUGGCUGGAAGGCCCUUGGAUAGCAAGGCUGGAGUGUGGGAAAUGCUGUCUCCCCACAGUAUGGACGCCGUCAGCAGUGUUUACUUGAGCAUAACCGGAACCACGCAGUAGGAUGAUCACCCACAGUUUGCAUAAAGACAACCUAACCACAGACCAGUUAGCACGUGAAGAAGAAGAAACAGCCAGCAGGGUAGCUAGCAGCAGGCCGCCUGCCCACCUGGGGCUGUGUGGGUAUGGAGGCACCCGGACGGUUCCACACAUGAGGCUGUGGGAGUCUCAGCCCCAGUGUGUCCCCAGGGUCUUCUCUUUGGGACCCUUUUCUCCUCCUAGCUGCCUUUCUCCUUCUCCAUGCAGGGUCUAGCCUGUAUGUUUCCUGUUGGCCAGGGUUCUUCUCAGAGAGGGACGUGGUGGAGGUGGGACUCAAAUUGAAGAUCUUCUCACUUUCCCCACAUCUUCUCACUUUGCCAACAAAGCUCCAUAAAGUCAAAGCUAUGGUUUGUCCGCUCAUCACAGAUGUGAGAGUUGGACCACAAAGAAGGCUGAGUGCUGAAGAAUGGAUGCUUUUGAACUAUGGUGCUGGAGAAGACUCUUGAGAGUCCUUUGGAUUGUGAGGAGAUCCAACUAGUCCAUCCUGAAGGAGAUCAGUCUUGAGUAUUUGUUGGAAGGACUGAUGAUGAGGCUGAAGCUCCAAUACUUUGGCCACCUGAUGCGAAGAACUGACUCAUUGGAAAAGAUCUUGAUGCUGGGAAAGAUUGAGGGCAGGAGAAGGGGAUGACAGAGGAUGAGAUGGUUGGAUGUCAUCACUGACUUGAUGGACGUGAGUCUGAGCAAACUCUGGGAGUUGGCAAUGGAUGGAGGCCUGGCAUACUCUAGUCCAUGGGGUCACAAAGAGUCGGACACAACUUAGCAACUGAACAACAACAAUGUUUUUGCCAGAACUCUUGCAGAGUCCAAACUAGCUCUGUUCGCUGCACAACAGGCCAAUAAAAUGUGAGAUGAGGUGUUGAAGCAAGAAAGUGAGGACUCUGAGCAGGUAGCAGACUGACGUGCUAGAAUACCAUCUUUCUGAGUCAGGAUUCAGGCUUCUUUUAUACUAAAAAGGGAGGCGUUUUGGCUGCUUGCCUCUUCUUGGUGUCAAAAUCUUUUAUUCCUGCAGCUGUCCACAUAAGUCAGGUCAUGAUAAUCCCGUAAACCUUCAAUAAGACAAACGUUGGACUUCCCUGGUGGUACAGUGGUGAAGAAUCUGCCUGCCAAUGAAGGGAAUAUGGGAUGAUCACUGGGCUGGGAAGUUCGCAUGUGCCGAGGACCAAGUAAGCCUGAAAAUGAAAGUGUUAGCCACUCAGUUGUGUCAGACACUAUGUGACCCUAUGGACAGUAGCCCGCCAGGCUCCUCUGUCCAUGGGAUUCUCCAGGCAAGAAUAUUGGAGCAGGGCGUCAUUUCCUCCUCCAGGGGAUCUUUCCAGCCCAGGGAUUGAACCCCCUUCUCUUGCAUCUCCUGCUUUGGCAGGCAGGUCCUUUAGCAGCUGAGCCACCAGGGAAGCCAAGCUAAGACCUGUGCAAGGUUAAAAAAAAAAAAAAAAACACACCAAAAACCUUGCCAGAGGAACUGCAGAGCCUGGGCUCUAGAACUUGAGAGUCCCAACUGCUGCGCUCACGUACUGCGACUAGCGAAGUCCGUGGGCCCUGAAACCCAUCCUCCACAACGAGAGAAGCCACCUCAGCAAGAAGCACAUCGCAUCUAGGGUAGCCUCCGCUUGUUGCAUCUAGAGGAAAGCUGGCUCACAGCAAUGCAGACCCAACACAAUCACAAAUAAAUCAGAAAAAAAAAAAAAAGAUGGUCUACUUUGUCAUUGGGUUUCCCUAAAGCAGCCACCUACAGGAGACCCAGGUUCAAUCCCUGGGUUGGGAAGAUGUCCUGGAAGAGGCCGUGGCAACCCACUCCAGUCUUCUUGCCUGGAGAAUCCAUCCUAUGGACAGAGGAGCCUCGUGGGCUACAGUCCGUAGGAUCACAAAGAGUUGGAUACAACUGAAAGACUAAACAAGGACCACUUUGUCAUGACGGCAACUGCCUGCCAUGGUUUUAGCAGGUUUGGGUGUCCAACAUCCCCUUUGCCACCUCAGGGAAAGGCUGAGGUCAGGAGCCAGUCAACAUUUUUCUGUAAAGGGCCACAAGGAACAUAUCUGUAGCUUCUUGGUUCUACCGUGUG